UUCCGUCGGUUUUAGGACUUUUGAAAGGUAAGGUUUUGUUCUACUCGUUGUAAGCUUCAUUUUGGUACAAAUUUCAUGGAUUUUGGUUGUGUAUCGACUGAGAUAUAAAGGUUUGAAAAUUUCCCAAUUUUCUAGCGACAACAACAAUCACCGGAGUUUGAAGGAAGAAGACAAAGAAUAUUCCGUCAAACUUGACGGAAUAUUCUAACGGUGUCAGGUUAGUUUUAACGGAAUAUGCUACUUUUGACAGAAUAUUCCCUAACGGCGUUAACAGUUCCGUCAGUCUGCCUGGCACGUGCCCGUGCGUGGGCGGCACGUCUGGCCAUGCCUUCGCUGGCACGUGACAACUCCAACAAUUUUUCUAAAAAUAUGGGGAUGUUCCUGAGGUUGAGUAGGUCAUGGUGGUAUAUUCAAAUACCCCAUUUGAGAAUUGUAUGAGAAGUUAUUUCCUACUUUUGGUUAUGUGCUUUAAAUAACGUUUAUUCAGUUAUAUCGCAUAUAGGUGAGAUCAAUCCUGAGGACGAGCGCCAUCAAUCGAGGCUCGAGGGCUACGACCUUUCGACAUACUAGUGAGUGGGCUUUUGAUUUUCCUUAUAUACCUAUAUACUUGAGAUUUUUCCCAGAAAAUAUGUUUAAAUGAAUAUAUGUUUUGAAAAUGCCAUGCAAGUAUCUAUAUGUUUUCAUUAUGCAUUAGUAGUUGCAUACAUUCAUGAUUGGUGCUGCGGACGCACAGGUAAGUGCCAGGUAAGUUUAUAAAUUAAAGAUGUGAGAUUAAUUCAGUUAUGCGAGUUAUGAUGUGAUGUGAUGAGAGCUCAUAAACUUGCACCCGGUGUUAGUGCUCCUGCCUAGAGUUAGGGCACAGUCCUUCACGUGAUGUUCACCUCCCAUACUGUAUGCUCACCUUGGAUCCAAGUUAGGUGCACAGGCUUGUCGUACAUACCACUUUAGGUGGUUUCAACUCAUAGGUGACCUGCGAUCAUUCGCACAGCCUUCACGGAUCAUAGCACUAAAGCAUAUUUACUUUACACCUAGUCUUGUCAUACAGAAACUGUAGGUGGUUUCGACUCUUGUGCAUGAUUUGAUUUGAUAUGAUUGAAAUUGGUUAUGAGCUAUAUACUUAGCAGUGUAGUUUGAGUUAGAGAGAUUUGGCUAAUGCGAUAUUUGACAUUUAUAUAUUUUGCCUGGUUUACCUAUAACAUUGCAUUGAGAUACUUUGGCAUGGUAUACUUCUAUGGAUUUUCAUCUUGAGUAUGAUUUCGGAUACAACUUAUUAUUAUUAUUAUUUUCUGGGAAAUUAUACAGGUUUUACGGCAAGGGGUAGAACUUUGAGAAUGAAAUGAUUUUGGAAAAGCUUUGUUUUUGCCCACUCACACUUUCUGUUUUGCGCCCCUCCAGGUUUUAGGUAGAAGUGCUUUAGUGGAUCACAAGGAUUCUGACGGGGGUUCUGACAGAACAUCACUAUGUAGGAUCAUCCUCGGGUGUUGUGUUAUUAGUACUUGUCCUGCUUGACUGUACUUAGACUAUUUAUGCUCUGGUUGUGUAUUUCACACUUAAUCUUGUGCUAGCACUCUAGUUUAGCUAGUACUCUAGUUGAUUUGGAUUUUAUUCUCUUGUAUUUCUCUAUAUCUAUUGCUUCCGCACUGUGCACAUGGUUACUUCACUCCUAUGUGACGGCCAGCAUGCCCUGAUUUAGGUCGGAGUGUGUCAACUAAUCUAUUACAAAGUAUUAAAUGUGCAAGGAUAUGCAAAAUGAAAGAGUUUUUUUUUUUUUUUUUCCCAAGGUUGUGAAGCCUUUCUCAAAAGUUUAAAGCUUGCCAAUGGAACUCAAACCUUGCAUGUUAUUCCUUUUACAAAAUCCUCAAUUUUUAUUGAUCAUCAUGACAUAAGAGUUUGUGGUAUGCAUUAGUGUAAAUAUUUUAAAUUGAAGAUCGAAUUCAUUCAUUGUAUUCAUAUAGAGUUAAGGAGUGUAGCUAUAAAAAAUCAUGAAAUCGGAGUUAAAAUAAUCGUUAAAUUGUGAUUUUUUGUUGAUAACCGUCAAAAAGUUUUGUCCUGUUAUUUGAUCUCUAAAAGUUUGUUUUUUGCGAUUUUUGGUGUAUGCGAUCUUGAAGCAUAUACAAACAAGCUUGACAGUUGGAUCGUUGAAAUUAGUUUCGUAGAAUGCGUAUCCCAUCAAAACAAUAGAUUCACUAACACUUAGAGUUUAUUUAAAUUUUCUCUAAGUAUAACAUAAGAUUUUGUGGUAUCCAUUAGUGUAAAUAUUUUAAAUUAAAGAUCAAAUUCAUUCAUUGUAUUCAUAUAGGGUCAAGGAGUGUAACUGUAAAAAAUCAUCAAAAUCAGAGUUAAAAUAACUGCUAAAUCAUGAUUUUUCGUUGAUAAUCGUCGAAACGUUUUGUCCCGUUACUUGAUCUCUGAAUGUUUUCUUUUUGCAAUUUUUGGCGUAUGCAAUCUCGAUCUAUAUAAAAACAUCUUUGAUGGUUGGAUCGUUGAAACUAGUUUCGUAGAGUGCGUAUCCCAUCAAAACAAAAGAUUCACUAACACUUAAGAGUUUAUUCAUACAUUCAUGAAGUAUAACAUAAGAUUUUGUGAUAUCCACUAGUGUAAAUAUUUUAAAUUGAAGAUCGAGUUCAUUCAUUGUAUUCGUACAGGGUCAAGGAGUGUAAUUGUUAAAAAUCAUCAAAAUCAGAGUUAAAAUAACCGUUAAAUCGUGAUUUUUUGUUGAUAACCGUAAAAAAGUUUUGUCAUGUUACUUGAUCUAUGAAUAUUUGUUUUUUGCAAUUUUGGCGUAUGCGAUCUUGAAGCAUAUAUAAACAAGUUUGACGAUUUGAUCAUUGAAAUUAGUUUCGUAGAAUGCGUAUCCCAUCAAAACGAUAGAUUCACUAACACUUAAAAGUUUAUUCAUACUUCGAUUAAGUAUAACAUAAAAUUUUGUGCUAAUGUAAAUAUUUUAAAUUGACGACCGAAUUCAUUCAUUGUAUUCAUAUAAGGUCAAGGAGUGUAACUGUAAAAAAUCAUGAAAAUCGGAGUUAAAAUAACUGUUAAAUCUUGAUUUUUCGUUGAUAACUGUCGAAAAGUUUUGUCCCGUUACUUGAUCUCUGAAUGUUUAUUUUUUGCAAUUUUUGGCGUAUGCGAUCUUGAAACAUAUACAAAUAAGGUUGACGGUUGGAUCGUUGAAAUUAGUUUUGUAGAAAGCGUAUCCCAUCAAAACGAUAGAUUCACUAACACUUAAAGUUUAUUUAUACUGUCAUUAAUUAUAACAUAAGAUUUUGUGAUAUCCACUAGUUUAAAUAUUUUAAAUUGAAGAUCGAAUUCAUUCAUUGUAUUCAUAUAGAGUCAAGGAGUGUAGUUCUAAAAAAUCAUCAAAAUCGAAGUUAAAAUAACUGCUAAAUCAUGAUUUUUCGUUGAUAACCAUCGAAACGUUUUGUCCCGUUACUUGAUCUCUGAAUGUUUUCUUUUUGCAAUUUUUGGCGUAUGCAAUCUCGAUCUAUAUAAAAACAUCUUUGACGGUUGGAUCGUUGAAACUAGUUUCGUAGAGUGCGUAUCCCAUCAAAACAAAAGAUUCACUAACACUUAAGAGUUUAUUCAUACAUUCAUGAAGUAUAACAUAAGAUUUUGUGAUAUCCACUAGUGUAAAUAUUUUAAAUUGAAGAUCGAGUUAAUUCAUUGUAUUCGUACAGUGACACACCCCGUCCCGAAGGAGGGCAUGCUGGCCGUCACGUGAGAGUGACGUAACCAUUUGCACAGUACGGAAGCUUUAAUUAUACAAUUUAUAAGUUGAUACACCCGAAGGUGAGUCCUAAUUUUGUCCAAUCUGUCAGAACACCGUCGAAUUCCUCGUAGUCACCACACCUUUGUGAUUCCUGAACCUGGAGGGGCGCAAAACCAAAAUUGAGUGGGUCAGUAAAACAAUUCUUUUCCAAAUCCAAACAUUUUUCAAAACGUUGUAACCCCUCUCCGUAAAACCUGUAUAUUUCCCCAGAAAAUGUAAAAUAUAAAUAUACAUAUAUAUUCUCAAGACUUCAAGUCGUUAACUCAACAUUUUCAUAACAAUUAUGCCAUGCCACAUCAUCUCAACAUUUCUCAUAUUAAUUAUGCCAUGCCACAUCAUCUCAACAGUAAUAAGGUAUGAAUGCAUCAACAUAAUCAUAUCAAGGUGCAAGAAAGUAAUCAACCGUAGGCCCUCUAAUAGCCCUGUACGGUUGAACCUAGAGCUCAAAAUCUAUCAUUAUCACUCUACCGGAGUCACCUCUGUGACCCGUCCGGCCUUCUGCACACAAGUUACGCUCUAGUGCUUCUCAUAAAUCAUCUGUGCACAUAAUCUAAGGUCACCCACCAGUCGGAAUCUCACUAACACUCUCGCGACUGGUCUGUCGUACCCACUCCGCGUGGACUGUACGACUAGCAUCUACUUGGAUCCAAGGCGAGCGUGCGAUGCGGUGAAUACUAUAAGCACUAAACCAUGGUGCAGGAUUUGAGCUCAAUAUAUAUCAUCAUCAUCAUAACAGUAAUUAAAUACUCAUUUGUGCGUCCACCGCACCAUUUCAUACAUAUGCAUCAUAAAUCAAUUCUUACCUGUGCGUCCACCGCACC
rnacentral:lncRNA from 1 species